rnacentral:tRNA from 1 species
GUCACGAUCAGAAUGAAAGGUAGUUCGCUGGGUUUGUAUUUCAUUUCCUUUCCCAGAGGCGUUGGUUCGAAUCCAGCUCGUGACA